AUCCAGCUGAAGAAUCCUAAACAGGAAGAAACGCGAGUUAUGGAU
rfam:Schistosoma mattheei strain Denwood, Zambia genome assembly, scaffold: SMTD_scaffold0003027